rnacentral:lncRNA from 1 species
CCGUCUCCAAACAAUUAUGUGUUUUUUCUUGAACUCAGAACAUUCCACUUGAGAAACCCAUUAUUGACUGUUUCGAGCGAGUAGUUUAGAGUGGAGGGUUUUGACAGGAUUGGAGAAGGAGAUUUUUUUAGUGAGUGUAUUGAAGAAUCGGCGAACGGGAGGCCCUAUGACGAGACGAUGUUCCUCGCAAGUUCAACGGAGUGUCCCACGCUUCUCGAUGCAGGUGGCCUUGAGCCAAGCUGCACCGCC